CUGUCGUCAGCUCGUGUCGUGAGAUGUUGGGUUAAGUCCCGCAACGAGCGCAACCCUCAUCCUUAGUUGCCAUCAGGUAAUGCUGAGUACUUUAAGGAAACUGCCAGUGAUAAGCUGGAGGAAGGUGGGGAUGAUGUCAAGUCAUCAUGGCCUUUAUGGAGUGGGCUACACACGUGCUACAAUGGUGUCUACAAUGGGCUGCAAGGUGCGCAAGCCUAAGCUAAUCCCUAAAAGACAUCUCAGUUCGGAUUGUACUCUGCAACUCGAGUACAUGAAGUUGGAAUCGCUAGUAAUCGUGGAUCAGCAUGCCACGGUGAAUACGUUCUCGGGUCUUGUACACACUGCCCGUCACGCCUGGGAAUUGA
rnacentral:rRNA from 1 species